UGAUUCUAUAUCUUUGCUAUAGUUCAGCCUGAUUUUUGAGGGAGGGGUACUGCAGAGCAUAAAUUACAUCUCCGAACUUAUUCACCUUGGGGCAAAGGAGUUGGCCUUUUGUAUUCCUACAUACUUCUGUUAUUGGCCAGUCAGCAGGAGGUGUCCCCCACCACAGGGAGGAACCAGGAGAACAAGGAGGACCCAGUGCACUGAGCAAUCUUCUCAUGGGUGGGAGUGCCAGCCUGUUAGCAGCAAAGCACAUUAGAGGGGCUCCAACAAUGUACUCCAAAUCUACGCUCAACAGGAGGACUAAAUAAGUGGGAUAAGCAAAAGCUACUUAGAAUUUUAAAAAUGCUGCCUGAAUAUAAGAAAUCAUUUUAUUCUGGUGCAUUCUUAGGACAAAUGGAAUCAUUCCAGAACCUUCUUUAAAAUCAGAAUCAGAUACACUUGCAGUAAUCUGACUCUCUCCCUGAGGAAUCUGAUAUGAAGACACUCAUUUAGAAAAAGGAGUUGUGGACAAAGCUGGAUAUUGUUUCACUGAAUUUACAGAAUUAAUUCUUUUAACUCAUUCUGUUCAGAUAAAAAAGAUCAAGCCCAGCGGACAAGUGAUUUAGCCCCAAGCCACAUAACUGGUAAUUGACAGAAGCUGAAUGCAAAGUCAGGUCUCCGGACACCCAGUCCAGAGUCCUUUCCAGUCCCUACCUGCCCAGCAUUAGGAAGCGAUUUUGUUUUCUAGCUGGGCCAGACAGGGAUCCAGGAAGGAAGAAGUGAGGGAGACAUCCCCUUCUUUGACUCUGAUCUUCAGCAUUUUUGAAGCCCACUCAGACAUGCAGAGAGAUUAAGUCUAUUGAAUGCUUUUCAAGUCCUUCUCUACCGUGGAUGGGAAGGAAAGCAUUCCUGUGACUCAUUUGUAAAGACUGCAUUAUGUGACAAAGUCACAUGAAUACAGGAAGUCAUCAGGCCACAGUGAGGAAAGGACGCUGGGGACAGGGGGCUGCUUUGCUCCUGAGAAGGCCCUCACAGUGACAAUUGUGAUCUGAAGGUCCUCAGAGUUUAGUAGAAGGAAAAAAAUCCAUCUCCUUGCAUUUUUCUUCAGGCAGUCUUAUGCAGUGCUUAUGUAUAGCUGCCUCGUCCAAGGGUUUGUCAUCUUGUUUCUUCCUCUUUUAUAAGGAAAGAUGUUAUUUGAAGGAAAAACAUGAGUGAGAGAUGAGGGAUCUGAGCAGUCUCAUAUACCUUGCCAGGCCCUUUUAUGGACUGGGAGCAUCCUUCAUGCAAAAUUCAUGGAGUCAUUCUUAUGAGAAGUUCAGCAUGCAUACUGUUUUCUAUGGUCUUAGAUUUCUAUAAAAAAAAAAAAAAGAAAAA
rnacentral:lncRNA from 1 species